rnacentral:rRNA from 1 species
GCAAGUCGUACGAGAACGCUCCCUUCGGGGAGUUAUUAAAGUGGCGCACGGGUGAGUAACACGUGGGUAUCUACCUUUCGGCGGGGGACAACACCUGGAAACGGGUGCUAAUACCGCAUACGUCUGCUUCGGCAGGGAAAGAUGGCCUCUUCUUGAAAGCUAUCACCGGAAGAUGAGCCCGCGACCCAUCAGCUUGUUGGUAGGGUAAAAGCCUACCAAGGCAACGACGGGUAGCUGGUCUGAGAGGAUGAUC